GGGAUUUUAUUUUUUUUCUGGGCUGGCUUCUGUGUAAUUUGUUGGGGCUUUUUGUCCAAUACCCCUUCUCGGUUAGGGUUUACUCCGUUUUCUCCUUCUUCACCGCUCAAGAACAACCAUGUCGAUUAUGUCUUCCAAAUCGACCUUCCAUCAUCUUAACCGGUUUUUCAUCUUAAAACCCUCCAUUACUCUCUCACAAACGAUCUGUAUUCAAUGCGAUUUCUGGAUCUGCAAGGCGGUGGAGACUAACCACUCCUUCUUCAGUGUUCAAGUUUGUUUGCUUCGUUUUUGUGAGGCUAUGAAUGUCGGCCAGGGUGGAGUGCUCCUACAGUCCUACUAAACUCUCAGACGUUUCCACCGUCUUCAAGCGGUAGUACCAACAAAGUGUCUUCUACCAAGUCAGAAGAGGGGACAUACAUAUGCCUCAGUUAUGGUAAAUAUGUCCAAGGAACCAUUCCCAUGAUGAGGACAAAGGAAGUUGAUGUCUUAGAGCAAGUUCAGUCAAAAGAUAUUGCUAAAGCAGUCAUAAUCCAUCAAUUACACGGCCAGAGAUUGUAGGCAAGUUCUACAUGAGACUAUCAUUCCAUUCUCUGAGUUUUUAUAUAUUGUAAUUUGUAACCAAAGCUGAUAAGUGGGACCCCUCCAAAAAUUAGAGAAAACGGUAGAAGUAAUUAACAAAGGCAAUCCCACAUGAUUCCAACGAAUAUGUAAAACUAGACCACCUCCAUUGGUUAGAACCCUUAAUGGAUUCUUAAAAUUAAUUUAAUAGUUAAUUAU